UACGUAGGGUGCAAGCGUUAAUCGGAAUUACUGGGCGUAAAGCGUGCGCAGGCGGUCUUGCAAGACAGAUGUGAAAUCCCCGGGCUUAACCUGGGAACUGCAUUUGUGACUGCAAGGCUGGAGUGCGGCAGAGGGAGAUGGAAUUCCGCGUGUAGCAGUGAAAUGCGUAGAUAUGCGGAGGAACACCGAUGGCGAAGGCAAUCCCCUGGGCCUGCACUGACGCUCAUGCACGAAAGCGUGGGGAGCAAACAGG
rnacentral:rRNA from 1 species